GCGGGUAUAGUCUAGUGGUAAGAUGGAUGCUUCCCAAGCAUCAGUCGCGGGUUCGAUUCCCGCUACCCGCUCCA
rnacentral:tRNA from 1 species